rnacentral:tRNA from 1 species
GCGGGUGUAGUUCACUGGUAGAAUGUCUCCCUUCCAAGGAGAAGAAGUGGGUUCGAUUCCCAUCACCCGCUCCA